rnacentral:rRNA from 1 species
GAUGAACGCUGGCGGCGUGCCUAAUACAUGCAAGUCGAGCGAACAGACGAGGAGCUUGCUCCUCUGACGUUAGCGGCGGACGGGUGAGUAACACGUGGAUAACCUACCUAUAAGACUGGGAUAACUUCGGGAAACCGGAGCUAAUACCGGAUAAUAUAUUGAACCGCAUGGUUCAAUAGUGAAAGACGGUUUUGCUGUCACUUAUAGAUGGAUCCGCGCCGCAUUAGCUAGUUGGUAAGGUAACGGCUUACCAAGGCAACGAUGCGUAGCCGACCUGAGAGGGUGAUCGGCCCCACUGGAACGGAAGCCAGGUCCAAACUCCUAAGGGGGGCAGCAGUAGGGAAACUUCCGGAAUGGGGGAAAGGCUGAAGGAGCAAAGCCGCGUGAGUGAUGAAGGUGUUCGGAUCGUAAAACUCUGUUAUUAGGGAAGAACAAAUGUGUAAGUAACUAUGCACGUCUUGACGGUACCUAAUCAGAAAGCCACGGCUAACUACGUG